rnacentral:rRNA from 1 species
GACAGAGGGUGCAAACGUUGCUCGGAAUCACUGGGCGUAAAGGGCGUGUAGGCGGAUAGAUAAGUCGGGCGUGAAAUCCCCAGGCUCAACCUGGGAACUGCACUCGAAACUGUUUAUCUUGAGUGCCGGAGAGGAAAGCGGAAUUCCUGGUGUAGAGGUGAAAUUCGUAGAUAUCAGGAGGAACACCAGUGGCGAAGGCGGCUUUCUGGACGGUAACUGACGCUGAGACGCGAAAGCCAGGGGAGCAAACGGG